rnacentral:tRNA from 1 species
GCCGGGUUAGCACAGCGGUAGUGCAGUCGCUUUGUAAGCGAAAGGUCGCGGGUUCAAAUCCUGCACCCGGCA